UACGUAGGUGGCAAGCGUUGUCCGGAUUUAUUGGGCGUAAAGAGCGUGUAGGCGGCCAUACAGGUCAGCUGUGAAAACUCGAGGCUCAACCUCGAGACGUCGGUUGAAACCGUAUGGCUAGAGUCCGGAAGAGGAGAGUGGAAUUCCCGGUGUAGCGGUGAAAUGCGCAGAUAUCGGGAAGAACACCUAUGGCGAAGGCAGCUCUCUGGGACGGUACUGACGCUGAGACGCGAAAGCGUGGGGAGCGAACAGG
rnacentral:rRNA from 1 species